rfam:Gracilibacter sp. BRH_c7a BRHa_1007109, whole genome shotgun sequence.
AUAUUUUAUGGAAUUCCGCUGUAGAUAGCAGGGGCCUUAGGGCUUAAUAUCCUGCUGAGGUGGAGGAUGGGUUUUCAGGCUGGUACAACUAGCAUUUGAAAUAUUCUCGCCUCUGCGAUAUAUAGCAGAGGCUUGUUUAUUUAUUUC